UACGGAGGGUGCAAGCGUUAAUCGGAAUUACUGGGCGUAAAGGCGCAACGCAGGUGGCUGAGAAAGUCGAUUGUGAAAGCCCUGGGCUUAACCUGGGAAUUGCAGUCGAAACUACUCGGCUAGAGUAUGGAGAGGGUAGGUGGAAGUUCCCGGUGAUGAGCGGUGAAUGACGUAGAUAUCGGGAGGAACAUCAGUGGCGAAGGCGGCUACCUGGCCCAAUACUGACACUCAGGUGCGACGAGCGUGGGAGCAACAGG
rnacentral:rRNA from 1 species